GGAAGACAGCCUUGGCUGGAGAGGCCCAUGACACACAGACACACAGUGACGAUGGAGAUGUGGCAGUUUCACAGGAUGGCAGUGGCGUGGAGACAUGAAUUUGCACACAGCAGUCAUGGAGGUGAUGGGGUAAGAGAUGAAGGAGGCACAAAAGGAAAUGGUGAUGAGCAGGACAGCAGUGACAUCCCCCCCUCCCUUUUUGCUCUCCUCAAGCACAGACUAAAUCAGACUGCAGCCACAGAGCACCCACAGCAGGAUGAUCAUCCUCCCUGAAGGAGCAGUCUCUCCUGAAGUGCCACGAGUACUGUGCCUGCUCAUCUGCUCUUCCUCACCAGUUCCUGCAUGGGGCCACUCCUGUUAUCCUGCUGUGUGUCACACAGCUGGCAGGGCUGCUCAGGGGACAGCUGCCACUUCUUUGGAGGUGGAGAGGGGGACCUGAGCAGCACCCACAGACCUCCUUCUCUAGAGGGGAAUUUCACUUUCAAAAACGACUGUUUCCCCACUAUGCCAGGAGAGUUCAGUGCGGAAGAGCCAGCCCCACAGCUGGCAUGGAAGAUACCACUAGUACUAUUAAAGGCACCACUAGUGAUCAAUAAUUAGCAAGAGUAAUCACAGCCCCUACUUGGCUGUGCAGAGCACACCUCCCCUUCCCCUCUGAGUCUCCUCAGGGCCAUUAACACCCCCCCUGCUUGCAGGGGCAGGGAUGGGACUGCAGGGAUCCCUGGGGUGUUUUCAGCAGGCAGCAGUUCAGCUGCAGGACAGGUCAGUGGAUUUCAAGCCAGACACGGCCCUCUGCUGAACUCAGCUGCUGUGCAGUACCAUGUGCCAUCCUCUUCUCUCUUCCAGAGAAGCUCCAGUGGGAAAGUAAAGACCUUCCGUGUGUAUUGAACUCUAAGGUUUCUGUCUGGAACCUCUGCUAGGCUCUGGAGAGACUGCUGUUCCAUCCCUGCUCUGUCCUGUCCUGUCCUGGAGCAGACUGGAAGGGAGGCUUUCCAAGAGAAGCUCUUUGCAGCUGAUGGCCUCUCUCACCCCUCUGCACAUAGGGUGGGGGUCCUCAGGAAGAAGUGUCUCCCCCUCCUCAGCAAAUUACCCCGAGGGAAGCAAGCAGUGUGCUCCAGGCAGCACACACCUCCCCCUGACCAGCCUGGAAUGGGGCUGGAAGGGGGGGAGGUGGUGGGAGCUGGAAGCUGCAUUCCAGUGUCCGUGCAGGAAGGGCUGUGGGGCAGAGGGCAGCCCCUCUCACAAGGCCAGGCUUCCUUGUGCAGUCUCUUCUGUCACCAGUGGCUGCAACACUCACGUGCUCUGGGGUGGCUGGACUCUCGUGUACUCACCAUCUGCCAAGUUGUCUGAGUGCCAGAAGCUACUCAUGUUAAACUCCAAAAGGAAGCUGUCAAAAGAGCAAGAACAGAGGAUGCUUUUUCAGCAGCCUGGAAGGAUGCAGGUGUCAGGGAGAUGGCCCUGUUGCCCAAACGUAGCUCUGUAUGGUGGGAUCUGUACUGUGGAGGAUCUGCAGGGGCUUUUCCCUGAAGUGUAAUCCUGUGCAAGAGGCUCACCAGUGCAGGAAGGAACAAGUGUGGCAGCCCUGAGGCUGGGAGGGGAUCCAGGCACUGUGGGACUCACCUGAGGAGCAGGCAUGGUGGCCAUCAGUUCCCCACACUCUGGCUGCUGGGAGGUAACUAUGUGGAAUUAUUCUGUACCCAGAGGCUCAAGCCCUCAGAGCGGGACCUUUACCACCUCUCCCCUUUUGCACACCCAGCAAGCUGAGCAGUGCCACCUCCAUCCCAAAUUCAGCUUGAACUCUGAUUCACCCCAGGAGUCAGAGGUGAACCCAUGCCCAGAGGAGAGCCUCCCCUCUCUCCCCCUUGCUGGCACUCAGACCUGAGCUGCCUUCAUCCUUCUCCCCCCGUGAGAGGAAGAUGUGCAUUCGCUCCUCACGGGCAGGAGACGGGCGAGAGGACUCGGCACCAAGGAUCUGCACAGAGCCCAGGAGACCCAAGGCCUAUUUCUGACUCAGGCACUUUGUACUGAGUGAUUUCAGCUACAAAUUGGAAAUCCAGCAUUAUCCCAGGGACAAUUCAUCUGCAGAGGAUACUGCUGCUUCUUUUCUUCAUGGUAACCACGUCUAAUUAUCGUCUCUCCCUCUCAUAAUCAUGCCCAUGUCCUCAAACCCGAAACAGAUGCAGUAGUCACGGGACGCAGGAUAAUGCUCCAUUACUGAUGACUUCUCUUCAGCCAAA